rnacentral:rRNA from 1 species
AUUGAACGCUGGCGGAAUGCUUUACACAUGCAAGUCGAACGGCAGCACGGGGGCAACCCUGGUGGCGAGUGGCGAACGGGUGAGUAAUACAUCGGAACGUGCCCAGUCGUGGGGGAUAACGUAGCGAAAGUUACGCUAAUACCGCAUACGACCUACGGAUGAAAGCGGGGGACCGUAAGGCCUCACGCGAUUGGAGCGGCCGAUGUCAGAUUAGGUAGUUGGUGAGGUAAAGGCUCACCAAGCCGACGAUCUGUAGCUGGUCUGAGAGGACGACCAGCCACACUGGGACUGAGACACGGCCCAGACUCCUACGGGAGGCAGCAGUGGGGAAUUUUGGACAAUGGGCGCAAGCCUGAUCCAGCCAUUCCGCGUGCAGGACGAAGGCCUUCGGGUUGUAAACUGCUUUUGUACGGAACGAAAAGGCUCUGGUUAAUACCUGGGGCUCAUGACGGUACCGUAAGAAUAAGCACCGGCUAACUACGUGCCAGCCGCCGCAGUAA